rnacentral:rRNA from 1 species
CAUUACAAGUGAGGCUACCGAACGUUGGAAACAGCGGUUAGGAGCUUACACCCAACCCGUGUUUACAUACUAUUGUUGCUUUGGCGGGCCGUGGCCUCCACUGCGGGCUCUGCUCGUGUGUGCCCGCCAGAGAACCAAACUCUGAAUGUUAGUGAUGUCUGAGUACUAUCUAAUAGUUAAAACUUUCAACGACGGAUCUCUUGGUUCUGGCAUCGAUGAAGAACGCAGCGAAAUGCGAUAAGUAAUGUGAAUUGCAGAAUUCAGUGAAUCAUCGAAUCUUUGAACGCACAUUGCGCCCUCUGGUAUUCCGGGGGGCAUGCCUGUUCGAGCGUCAUUAUAACCACUCAAGCUCUCGCUUGGUAUUGGGGUUCGCGGUUUCGCGGCCCCUAAAAUCAGUGGCGGUGCCUGUCGGCUCUACGCGUAGUAAUACUCCCCGCGAUUGAGUCCGGCAGGUCUACUUGCCAGCAACCCCUAAUUUUUUAAGGUUG